rnacentral:tRNA from 1 species
GCCUGUGUAGCUCAUUGGUAGAGCAUUUGUCUAACAAACAAGGUCCCAGGCU